ensembl:lncRNA novel transcript, antisense to RYR1
GUGCUUCCCGACCUCCCAUGCGCCUGCAGCCCCCAACCACCCUCAAGGCCCCAUCACGUUGGCCCUCCAUUCUCCAGACUCUCCAGCCACCCUUUCUCCGCAGCCCUUCACGCUUCCCUUGUCCCUGGGGGCCUUACGUGGGCAGGUUGUACAGGGGCGUCAUACGGAAACAGGCCACGACUGCCCGCCGGCGCUGUUUGGACAAAAGCUUGUGCCACACGGCCUUCUUAGACUUGUAGUAGAGCACGGCUGACACUUCCUGGACUCUGCGCACGAUUUUCUCGGGGUCAUCGGCGUCCUCCUCGCGACCCGGGACGCCCCGGUACAGAGCCAUCUGCCAGCGCAGAGACGGGGAGCCUUCGACCUGAAGGGAGGAAGAAGGAGUGGCCGGCGUGAGGGACCCUUCCCACAGUGUCCGCCGGAUGUCCCCUUUCCGUUUUUGGGAGGACUCAAUGGAGGAAGGAGGCAUACCUUUCCCUGAAGGUGAAGGUUGUUGUGCAGAAAUUCCCGGACCUCCUCAUCUGUGUCUUUCUGGGGAGACAGAGCCAGGCUGGGUCACUCUGGAGGUCC